UUCACAACCCCCUGGAGCUUCUUUACUGGUAUAAAUAAAUCAAUUAUUUAAGUCAAAUACUUUGAUCAUUAGAAGCUGCCAGUGAGUGCCUGAAUGCCUGAGCUGUGUGAUUCACCAGGAAUGAUCUUGCCUCUCAAAAUGCUGAGCAGCCGAGGCGAGUACUACCAGCACUUCAUUUCAAUCUGCUUUAUAAAUUAGAUUAGAAGUCAGUUUGCAAUACUUCAUCCUGGAUAGCAAGGAAGGGAGAACUUUACAGGGGUGGAAUUAUGAGAUAUUGCUGCCAACAGAUCCUUUUAUCAUUUAACACUGCUGUCACAGGUUAAAUACGAGCUACUGUUCAUAUUAACUAAUAGCUAUUAUACAGAAAACUGACACAGGGAUUCCAGCUAAUGCACCAUGAACCUGGUUCACACACACUGCAUCAUAUUAACUAUUAUUUGCACAUAUGGAUGGAAAGGAGUUUUGAGUCACUUGGGAUAUAUGGCAAAUUAGCAUUUUAUAUCAUAUUAAUGAAGUGCUAAUUGCUCCUUGCAACCUUUUUUUGUGCAAAUUGAAUGGGUCCUAUUUGCAUUGUCAUGUAACUGCUGUGUUACCUUGCAGCACUUUCAUUAGGAUGAGGCAGCACAGAGUUCAUCAAGGAAACAUAUUAGUAAUUGUGAGAUAAUUAGUUAUGAAACUAAUAUUGUUUAAAGUAGAACAGAAAUAUUGCAGUUGACUUUGGUUUGGCUUGGGAAUAUUUUUUGUUAAUAGGUUUUAUAAAAUAUCUUUAGUUUUGCAUAUAUUAAACUGACAUCUUUACAAACAGCUCCUUGCUCCAAUAUUUUCUUUUUCAGUUCCUGUUUGGCAGGGUGUUUUGCAUCUUUGAAUGAAACAAGAAACACAGGAAAAAAAAAAAGAGUACUUUAUUGCUGGCCAUUUGUUUCUAAAAUGAAUCACAAUACUGGAGCUUUUUGAGAUUGUGAAAUAGGAAAAUAUCUCUAAAGAUAUUGAAUUGACAGGUGUCUGUGAGUCUGACCAAACAGCAGCAGUCUGUAAAACAAUUUAAGAAAUGUUGAAGAUGUUACAGUCCUAAUCAUUUGCAGGAUCUUGUUAACUAUCACAGAUGAUAAAAUUCUCCAUAAGAUUAAUAUAUAGUAUGUGAUAUUUUCAGCCAGGACAGGCAUUCGGGGGGAGAGGGAAGAGGUGGAAAAAAUGAGAUUAAAAAAAAAAAAAAAAAGAAAAAGAAAAGAAAUUUCAUCCUGUCUUGGGGAUGUUUCCAUUAUUGUGGAGAAAGCAUGAUUAAUUUCUGAAGCCUCUGUGGGGAAGACACCCAGACAAAAUGACAUAAAUCUACGUUAAAGGAUUUAAAUGCUUUAACCAAGAAAAAAGUGAGCUGAACUUUAGGUAGCACAGCCCUUUGCCAGUCAGUUCAUCCAGAUUUAGAUCCUUCACCUUUUCUUUUUCGGUGACGUAUUGGAUAUGGACAGAUUGCAAGUUACAGCCAAAGGCAGUAAGACAGCUUUAUUGCUGUUGCAUGGGCAACAUGUUGUCUUGGACUGGGAAACAGGCUGCGGACUUACAGAAAUCUGCGGUAACAUCAGGAGGUUACCAGGAGCCUGAGGAGAUCCAAGAGCAAAGCUCUGGUAGAGAGAUAGAGGAAUCAGAUGCAUGAACAUUCUUCCCUGCUGACAGACUGACCACUUUCCAGAUUUGGGAGUUUCUUGUGACACUGAACUGAAGCUCUGAGGGACUGAUAGAGAGUAACUGACUGGACUUGGUGUGAGAACCAUAUGGAUGGGAAGAAGUAACCUAGACAGAAGUUGCAAGUUCACAGAUUGCAAGACGGGAGGCCAAACACUGAAACAGCAUCUGACAAAAGAGGGGACUGGCACAGGAGGUGUCACUGGAAACCACGACUACGGACAGCUAGCAGGAGAUUUUAGAACCCCCUUUUAAAAUAACAACUAAACUUGUGGGAAUGAAGACAUAGGAGUCAGUGCUUUGGAGGAUGCCCUGAUACUAGGUCCUAAUGCAGGUAUAGAAAUGCCAUCUCAAGCUUUGCUGCUAGUGGAGUUCUGCAAUGUCCGCUCCACAAAGACGUUCUCAGUCUGAACACGGGAUGUCUUUCACUUCACUGCACUGCACCAUCGGCAGCAGCAGCAUCUCGCUUCCUCCCCUGCGUCUGCACACCAGUAACAUCGCUAUCUCCCAGCCACGGCAAACCAAAGAGCCCAGUCAUCCUUAUCUGCUCUCGAAAACGUGCACCGUGAGGAAUCUCCCAAAAAUGGUGCUUUUUCAUCAGGAAGAGAUAAGCUGACAUCUUGCCUGAGAACAACCUUACUGGCCCUUCCUGGAUACCGGUUUGCAGGAGGCACUGAUGGAUGCUUCCCCUUCCAAAAGUGGGAUUCUCCCAUCAGAGAGAGCAACUGUGGUAUUUCAUUGAGUGAUCUGGGAAGUUGGAUGCUUGGAGUUGCCUCUGAGGCUGGGUUUGCUGCUGGGAAAAAGCAAUGUUUAUGUUAAAUUCAAAAAGGAACGCCCUAAUUUGUAUGUUCAAAAGUUUUGAUUUUAAACAAUGAAACAGAAUCUGGAAAAUAAGUGUUUUGGAAGUGGCAAGGAAAAUUGGAAUCCUAGUGAAUAUACAGUACUUAAUACAUGGUAUACAUAUCUGACUUCAGGGAAAAGACUUUUUCUUCAUUUUGGCUCCUUUUUCUUCUGACAUAGAAACAUAAUGCAAAUCUAAAGUGUCUAAUCCAGGAAACAGCCACCAGAGCCUUUAUAAUGCAAAUUAUCUGACUGUUCUAUAGUGUCUUUUUUCCAGAAGGGUCCCAAAGUGGUCCCACAAGUUACAUGUGGCUUUUUCCCAACGGGUCCCACAAGUUACAUGUGGCUACAUGAAUCAGUUCCCACACCACUGAAUUACAGGGAGCUCUGGAGAGCAGAACGUCUUUCUGGCAGGGCACAGGAGCAUUACCCAGCAUUUUGGGAUGGGAAGCAGAAAAUACAAAGGAGGGAAAACAACAAAAUAAGAAAAGGUGAAACAGAUUGAAAUUAAGAUUCAAAGAGGACUGAGGAAGAGGAUAAAAUCAGAUCUGUGGGGUUUUUUGACAGUGUCAUCAGAGCUGGUGAUACAUAUUGUUAUUGAUAGCUAUAGCUGACCUUCACAAUAUUUGUCAGGAAGGUUUCCCGGACUUAGGCAAGGUUAUCUGGGCAGCUCUGUGUUUUAUCUGCUCUGUGUUUCUGCCUCAUUUCUCCCUGCAGCCCUUCCUCCUGUGUGCCCAGGCUUCCGGAAGGAGGCAGAAGGCACUGGGGUCCCUACACCCUGCCCAGAUGUGAUGCUUUCAAGGAACACUCUCAGUGUGUGAACAAGGGGUGAAUUUGUCUCCCUUGCCACUUACCGCCCUCCCAGCCACCCCAGUGUCAAGCGGCAGAGCUGACUCCUGGAGCUGGGACUGUGCUCAAAGCUCAGCGCUGCCCUCAGUGAGAGUGUUCUCCUGGCUGCCACCGCUCCGGCCAGAGCCCGAUGGAGCAGAGAGAGGAAGGAGGGACCAAAAAAAAGAGAGAGAGAGAAAGAAGAGAGUUUCCCACAAAAACGGUUCAUAGAAAAUGAACAGUUUUCAAAAUCCUAUUUUUUUAUUUCUUAAAAAAAGACUUUCUCAGAAACGUUUAGAAAAGGAUAUAUAUAUAUUUUUUUUUUUCCUCUUGCUUUUAGGUUUGGAAGUUGAAACAUGAAAAAAUCCCCCACUCUGUUUGAUUUUAUGUUAGCUGAAAAUUUUGUCUGGCAAAGCUAUAACUUGCCAUAGAACUGAGUUUUGAGACUGGAGUUUUACGUGGUAAGCACUCAAGUAUUGUCAUUACAACUGUUGUUUCACACCUGAAUUCUGUUAAGUUGCCAUUUUUAUGUUGAAAAGAGGUUUUUUUUUUCUUUUUUCUUUUUUUUUCCCUUUUUUUUCUUUUCUCCUUUUCUUUUUUCUUUUUCUCUUUCUUCUCUUUUUUUUUUUUCUCUUUUAUUUUUUGUUCUUUUUUUUUCCCCCAAUGGAUAGCUUGCAAUUCACUCUUGUAACAAAUAACGUUGGGCCAAUGAUUUCCAGAGAUUGCCUGAAUGCAGCGAUGGUGACAGUGCUGCUACUUUGUGCCUAAUCGUUCCUUCACUCGUGGGAGACACGUUAGGUGAUUAAAAAGGUCUGUAAACAAAAGCUGAGGUGCAGCUUCUCAGCAGUGUGAUGCAGAGUGACAUUGUGGCAGAUGAUUAGUCUUCUUGGGAGCAAAAUCAAUGAAAGCAGCGGUAGUCAGAUGUCUUCUGGUGUAAUUUUUCCUAUGUGCAGGUGAAGUGUGUUACAGAAGUCUUAGGAGCUGUUGUUAUUGUCACAAUUUUCUACCAGCUCUACAGUCAGCAUUUACAAAAGUGUCUGACAGAUUUGAGUGCGCUUCUGUAGAUAAAACGUGUGUAUGGGAUUUAGGCAGGAAGGAAAAUUGAAAGGGGCAAAAAUUUCCUAAUAUUCUCCCCAAAAACUCUCAUUGAAACCUCCCAGGUUUCUUCUCUCGUUGCUGCCCACUCCUUCAUUCCCUCUCAGUACUGCUUAUCUGGGGUAAGAAUCAUGUCUGGAAUUUAUAAAUGCUUCUCUGUUGUGCAAAAGAACUUUGAUAGCAUGAAAUGAAUAGCAGGUAACAUAAUAAGAAAAAGUAUCUGGCUACAGCUUUGGAAAUGUAAAUUCUUUUAUCAGUCUCCCUGCUAAUUGGAAUCGCUGUUUGUUGUUUCACAUUUAGUGGAUUUCAUUAUAUUUUCUUUGGUAAUUAGAUAUUUAAACUCUAAAUUAAAAAUACUAGACCAAAAAAAAAGAAGAAACAACACCAAACCACGAACAAAAACCCCCUUCAUUAAGAUGCAGUCAAAGUUGUAUGUAGAUAUGACUUUAAUUAAAAUAAUAUUGUUAGAAUGCAGUGUUAAGGAAAACAAAGCAAGCAAAUGAACCACAAAACUUUAAAACUUGGCAAGAAGGACCCGAUCCAGUCCUUCUAAGUCACUACAAAGGCCCUUGGACUCUGCACUGUGCUUCAAGCGAGUCCACUGAGUGAGAGCUUGAACUGGGGGGCAAGUUUGGGAGGAGAAGGAGGGUGUUGCCCCCCUCCUUCAGCCUGCUGGUGGUGCCUCUUUUGGACUCUCUUCCCCCCGUGCUGUAUUCAGCUCCAGCAGCAGCCAUCUCCCAACCUGGUUGGGGCUACCAAAUACUCCCUGCCAUGUUUGGAUGCAAUAGAGAAGGUGUCAGAGGAGGAUUUUUGUGUCGUUCAUCAUAUAUCUGUAUGGAAAAAUUCCCCCUCCAAAAUGAUGUUGUUCCAGGCAGGUGGAGAAAGCACUCUAGACCUGAGGAGCUUUUAAAUGGGAGGUCGUGUGAAUUUUUCAUGCUUUGCGGAUUUUUAAAAUAUAUGUGAUGCUACAAAUAUAAAGAAAAAUUUCUUGAAAGCAUGCGUGUACCUCUAAAUUAUUUCUUAAGGGAGAAAUGAGUCAGAUGCAUCACACUCCUGUGCAGAUAGCAAAGAGGAGGUCACAGACCUGCUGCUUGCACUUUUAUUGAUGCUACAGAGCUAAGAGCUAUCUUAAAAUGUAUUUUGGAAGAUAAAUGAGCCUUUCUGCAUUUACAGCUUCACUUUUAGAGCUGAGCUGAGACAUGGCAGAAGGAAAAUUAUUGCACAGAAUUUCCAUUCUUUCUGAGGCUGAUUUCUAUCUUAUUAGCCCAAGGAAAGGACAAUCCAAGAAGAAAGUACCUUACACAGAUUAACCCCUGGUUUGUUAGGCCUGGCAGAUAGAGGCAGCAGCAUCUGAGAGAUUAUGAGGUCUGGAGACCAGUGUAUGAAGACAGCUUAUCAUUGAACAGGAGGGAAAAAAAUCUUGUUCCUUAACCACUCAUUUACUUCUUUGUCCUGUGUGAACUCCCACAUUGAUUAAGCUUUUUUUUUUUUCUUUUCAAAUUAGUUGCUUUGUACUGAAAGCAUUAGAUAAAUGCGGAAUAUACCAAAAUCCAAAUGAAUCAAAAGGAAUGACAUUUUUCUCCAGCUGAAGGUCAGGGCGAACACUGAACGCGUUGCCAUGCUCCCAGAACUGGCUUCUUAAUUUCAAAUGUCUCCCUGCAACAAAACCUCCUCCCUUUUGUAUCACCCCUUCUAUUAGUUUAGUAAUAUGCUGUCAUCCUGAUUUUUCUUAAUUUCACUUGUGAUAUUACUUCUCCUUUUCCUCCUCCUAUGGGAACAGAUUUCUUCUGCCAUAUGCCCAUUUAAACCUAAUUGUAGUAUCUGAACAUCUUGUGUGCUUAGCCACAGCAUCCCUUGGGGUUCAAUUGAGGCAGGGUAUGUAUGUGACCUUUAAAGCCAUGUCAAUGUGAGACUCUCUCAGCACACGGGUCUUUAAAGCCUGAAUGUCUAUGCUUCAUGCUAACAAAUUUGACCAGCCUGCCUUUUUAUGAGGAUAUCAUCAUUUUGGGCAAAUUCCAAGUUCCAUAUUUUGAAUCAGCAUGUAGAGCACUUUUAAAAUCUCCAUUUCCCAAAGAUCAAGUUCCAGAAGGUUAAAAAUGAAAAAAAAAAUCAAAGCAGUUGUUAUUUUUAUUUAUUCCAGCAAAUUUGUAGUAGUAACUACUUGAACAUUAUUAAUUGGCAAUUUGUACACUGGACUGCUCUCAGUAGCAAAGUUUUAAGUACACCAAUGCUGUAACUGUUUCCGUAUUAUGACAGUUCUUAAAAAGUGUGGUAAGGUUGCUAUAGGAAACAGUGAAAAUUCCCUAAAUUGCUGGGGUUUAUAGAUUUUCUAUUUGUAACCUAAAUGGUCUUUAUUUUCACACUUUUUUGCCUACACUAGAAAUAUUAUUGUGCUGGAUAAAACCAUGAGCUGCCCUAAUAGUUCAGCUAUAAUAAUGCUAUACUGUGCUGAAGUCUCAUGAAAUCUCUUUGGCUCAACGAAAGCCUUUUCACAAAUAUCCUCAGUUUGGAUCGUUGUGCCAAGGCAUCGUUACUGAGUUUUUGCCUUCCCAGAACCUCUCUGGCACUUGAGUGUAUAAAUUGUCCAGCUUUAAAUGUUUCGCUAAUAUAGAAGUCCUUAAAUAUAAAAACUCAGGUGUGUCUCAAUGCAUAUAAAAUAAAACAUUGCAUUACAGCGCUUACAUAAUAAAGGUUUUUAAAGACAUUGCUAUUUGGAGUCUUAAGGGUAUUUUGUGAUGCAGCUGGCUGGAGAGGCUGAGAGAAAGUGGUGAUUGAUUACUGUUCUGAACUAGAGAAGAAUUUAAAAUUUUAGUUAAAAUUGACAGUACAUUCUGGUAACAUGAGGAUAACAUACAUUACACAUGCAUUGAAAUUAAAUCUAUAACAACUAUAUAAGGCAGGAAAUUCAGUGCUAAAAUGACACAUCAGUGAAAUCAUUAUGAAAAUGCACAAUUAUGCCAUCCAUCCAAAGAAUAUUAACUUUACUCAGUAGUGCUGUAUAUCAUACAAUGGGCUUUUGACUGUUAGGCAUUUUAGUGCAUCAAUUAAAAUUAGGCAUUUUAGUAUUCAUCUUCCAUCUUAGCUUGGUUAGUUUCUUUAUAAAAAAUAUACACGAACAUUUUGUUAUUUUCUAAUGCUUCUGAUAUCAUUAAAUGAGAAUUUCUUAUCCAACAGCCUUCAGCUUUGAAAGGUUUCUAAAUAUAGAAUUUGUCCCAAAUCUGAGUUUUGUAGAGUCGAUUGUUUUCUGCUGAGACUGUAGUAAAGGAGAAAUUAAUAGCAUUUAAACAGAAGACAAAACCAGCAGCUGGAGUUGGCAAAUAUUGUAAGCUGGUUUUAGUCCUUUUCUUGUUUUAACUCAAUGGUGAGGAACUGGGAAGAGUAGGAGCCUUUGCAGUGCAGAUUAUGAGCAAAAUCAAAUGCUAGGGGACUUAUCACUUAACGUUAAUUCCUAAGUCAGCCAUCUUUCCCAUGUUAAUAAUAUCCUGAUCCUUAUUAUAGCAUCUCUCUGUCUGAUGAAGAACUUGAUUGAUUUUCCUCUUUGGAAGCAAUUUUUGUGGGGGAUUCUCAAGGGGAGGGGUUUGAGUGGUGAGUGCAUCCUUUGGGAAAGGUACCUUUUGUAGACUCCUAUUGUGUGAGAAAGCCAAGCUUACGUGUUGACCAUUUGCCUUGUCAAGCUACUAUUAAAACCUGAAUUCCUGGAAGCUCCAUCAAGUCAGAAUAAAAGUAGCAACAAAUGCAUGAUUUCCACCUCGUCCUGUAAACGCUAUUAUUUCUUUUGGUAUCCUUCUACAAAAUCUUUGAGCUGCAUUUUUUUUCUUAUGCAGAUUAAUUAAUAAUGAAUGCUAUUUCUUAUGUGCCUUGAAAAAAAUAAACAUCAAAGUUUGUGUUUUCACAGAGGGCAAUUAACUGGAAAGACAAUCACAUCUUACUUUAAUAAAACAGGCGCACACUCACUGGAGCACAAUUACAGGUGAUGUAUAUGUGUGUAUAGGGGUGUCUUUUGGGAUUCACACAACCUGUAAGUCAGGGGCCCCACAGAGAGGCCCCCUUGAGUGAGGGGCUUUCCGUCCUCUGGGCUGGCUGGCAGAACCCAAGGCGGGUGCUGGGGUAAAGACAAGCUCCUCGUUUGUGGGUAAGGGUCUGACCCCUGAGUUCAAGUGAUAGUGCAGCUGAGUGACUGUGUCUGCGUCAGAGGAGAGUGUGCUUAUGUUGUUAAUACUGGCUCACAGCUGCACUUUGAUUUACUCACUGUCUGUAUGAUGAACUGUAUUCAGGGUUUUUUCCUGCAGUGAUAUUAUCAUAUUUUUAUUUGAUGCUUAAAUCAAAGGUAUACUGCCUUUUAAUUAAUAUUAUGUUCUCCUACACAUUCAUUUUCUGGAAUGAAGAAGGGUUAUGUAGAAGGUCAAGGGCCAGAGAGAAAGAUGGUAUCUUGUAGCUUGAAUUAAUCUAAAAAUAAGGAAAUAGAUUUUUAGAGAAGAAAACAGUAUGAGCCUUGGCCUGAAUUGGAUCAGGCCCAAUAUCCUUCUGAGGAGGAAAUAAAGGGCUUGAACCUUCUCCCACUGAGAGCAAUUACAAACCUGCAGUUGACUAUAAUAGCUGUGUGUGAUAGGGCCAUAAUAAAUUUAAGGUCUGUGAUAAUCAAGGAGGACUGUGUAAUCUUCUGCUAAUGUUUCUGAAAGAUGCACUGGUAAAAUGCUAGGCAGGAAGAGCACGAUACCACUCUCUUAAUAGGAGAAAUAAGCUUAAGCCACUUGCUUGUUGCACUCAGAUGUAGCCAACCCUGGGAGUGAUUUUAAUUUGACAGUGAUUUAAAAUGAAAAAGUUUUGAGAAGAAAAUCUGUGGAAUGGUGACUGAGAAUGCUGCAGCUGUGAGGGAGAUGGGAGGAGGAGGGGAGAGGGAAGAAGUUUUGCAGAGGUACCCAUCUGAUUUUCUGUAUAGUACAUGAAAACAUUAAAAGGCCAUUUUAGUCAAUGCCACCCAUCUUGGUGUCCUGUUUUUGGUGUACAGUUUUGACAGGCUGACAGGAUAUGCUCAUGAUGGUCCAGCAGUGGGACACUCACAGUGUGCAGUCCCAGCCUCCAGCAAUGUACAGCUCAGGGAUUUCACAUCAAUAAAGUGCUCUUCAAGGAAAAGCUAUUGCUAUCCAUUUAAAUGUCUUCCUGAAAGUCAGCUUAUUCAUAGCAUAGCUUAUUCAACGACAUUCAUCAGGCAUUUCCAAAAUAUAAGGUUGACUGAGUAUAACAGAGUGAGCUAAAAUGCUUUAUGAUGUUAUCUUAAAUUAGAUAAAAAUAUUAGUUCUGAUCCAAAAUGCCACUGUAGCCAUUACCUAUCUUUCUGCUGCCUUAGGUAGGAUUUGCCUUGGAACCUCUACGCCCUCUAUUAUUGAUCAAUUUAAAGUAAGUGUGACAAUGGCUUUUCUUAAUUUUUUUUUUUCCCCCUUUUCUCUUCUGUUUACUAUCCCUAGUUAUAUGUUAGCUCAAAUUUAGAUGUUUGGUUUUGGAAAGCAGACACCUUUUUUUGUCUUCUGUUUGAAAUCCUAUAAAAUAAUAGUAGUAAGGGAUUCUGGAACUUUGUCGGUAUUUUGUAUAAAGGUGAAGAUAUAUACAUAGCUUCGCUGCUAUACAAAGCAUACGAAGAACUAUAUAUGGCAGAAUUACCUACCAGUGACAGGAGAAUCCUUUGAGGAGAAAACCUAGCAGUUAUUUUAACAGAGUAAUAGGCGAUAUUUUCUACUACCUGAAAUUUGUUCAGAAGUCAAGAAUACACCAAGUGUCACUGAAGACUGUUAAAUUUGAGAGGGGAUGUUAGGUGAUUUCUUAUCAAUUAUAUUGACAUGUAAUUUUAUAGGCAGAUUGACCAGUGGUGGUUUUGCUGUGUUUUCCUCUUUUUUGUUUUGGAGCUUGUGCAUUUCAAUUGGCAUGAUUUGUGAACAUGGAAAUACAUGAUGAGUCUCCAGUGAGCAGCUGAUGGAUAAGAAAAAAUACAGCAAAAAUGCUUUAGUGUGUUCCAGGUAAAGACAUUGGUGUCCUAAGUUAACUUUGUGCUAAUGUGCUUUAACUUUUAAAGCCAGAACACGUGACAUUGUAUGUGGAAGUGCUGCUGUGGAUGUAAUUAGUGUAAAUGGGAUUUAACCUAUCGUGUUUCAUACAGGCAAGUUCUGUAACCACCCGGCUAACGUGUAUACGCUAAUCCUUCUCUCAUAAUAAGAAGUAGAUUUUACACUGGAAGUGAAAUAAAUAUAAUAAAUAUAUAUAUGAAUUUGCAUGCACAUAAAAACAGACUUUGGAGUUUUUGAAAUCAACUUUGAAGCAUAAUUUCUCAUUAAAUUUUCUGGAAAAAACUUGGUGGAUUCAUACACUUCUUUAGUAUAUGCAUUUGUGUGAAUCAGGAUUUUAUUUGCAGACUGAGACGUUCCAGAGCUUAAGGGAACUACUGACAGCUGAAUGUCAAAACCAGUUCCUGGUUAAAUGUUAUCCUUGGUUGUCUUCAGGAGCACAGACUUUCCAGCCAACACUUUUUGUACAGUUUUUCUGGUUUUUACAUCAUGUUUUCCUUAUCCUUCCCUAGACACAGCAAAAAUGGGUUCCAUUUUAUAAGCACAGUAGUCAGCGACUCCUAGAAACAUGAAUAUUUGCUUUAAAAAGGAAAAUAUUGCAACUGAAUGAUUAAAAAGCCUGCUUUCAGAAGUUAAUAAAAUUUCUACUAGUAGCUGGAACCUUAAGUUUGGUUUGUUUUUUUAUUUUUUCUUUUUUAUUGCCCACACUGUUAUAACCAAGCUAAAAUUCAGAAACACAGCUAGAAUGUAAUUUCUUUGGCAUAUUGCUUUGGACCUUUGGGGUAUGAUAUAAGGCAUAGAGCAUUCAGUGCGUGGCAGCAGGUUGCUGCUUACUGAAUAACCAGGGGAAAUAGCAGUAGAACAGAGUCAAGGGGAACAAUGGUAAGAAAAAAUUCUGACUAAACAUUUUUUCAUUGGCAAAUGUCAGAUUGCUGUAACCCCGGGAUGCAGUAACUGUGAUGACACCAGCAAAGCGGUUCUGGUCACCUACCCAAGCCUCGGAGUAACCAACAGCCCAGUGAUCAGGUGUAGGGCGAGAGAUGUAGUUCUCUGAGGGACCCCUGAGCCAUUUUGUUGUGGGCCUUUCACUUUCCCAAAAAGAAGUUGUUCUUGUUUGUAAAAAUAAGUAUACCUUGAAUCAGGGAGAAAAGAAAAGGACUUUAUACAGUGAAAAACUGCAUGGGAUGUGGAAGAUGAUGAUGGAGAUUUCCUCUCCAAUUAAUAUACAAUUGUUUACACAAAAUGAAGUCAAUCCAACAAGGGAGAUUGAUAGAGCUUAGUCUAGAAGAUCCCCGAACCAGUGACUCAGGUAUUCAAAUGGGAGGUAGAAGAUUAAGGUUUAAGCCUGAGUCUGCAUCUAAUAUCUCCUAGAUGUCCUCAGACUACUGGGUUACAGUUGUUCCUGUGGUGGUCUUCCUUUUUCUUUUGUUUCCUAAGGAAAAUAUUAACAGGAUAUCAGUGGUGCUCAGAAAUCAUUCCAAACUGGUGUUGCUUAGUGCCCACUUUCUGCUGUCACAGCCCAGUGGGGCAUGAACUUCUGCACAAUACAGCUGCUUUCAGAGUGUCCAGUUCUCAAUGCCUUGUUUCUCGUAUUGUCCCAGACCUAGCAGUAGGAAAAGAAGAAAACCCUCAAUAGUAGAUACAGCAUUAAACAAAGAAAUACCCCCUCUGCCACCCUUGUGACUUAUCUCCCAUUAUUUCCUACAUUACUGGGCAGUUUGCCUCUAUGAUGCCUUUGGAGACAUCAGUGGUGCCUAAUGACAGCAUGAGGGGCAACGGGCACAGACUGAAGGCACAGGAGGUUCCAUCUAAACAUGAGGAGAAACUUCUUUACUUUGAGGUGCCAGAGCACUGGAACAGGCUGCCCAGAGAGGUUGUGGAGUCUCCUUCUCUAGAGACAUUCAAACCUGCCUGGAUACAUUCCUGUGUGAUCUGCUCUGGGUGAACCUGCUUUAGUAGAUGAUUUAGCAGUGGAUGAUUUCCAGAGGUCCCUUCCAACCCCAACCAUUCUGUGAUUCUGUGAGACAUACGGACCCCUGGGUGCUGUAUGGGUAGCCAGCACCACUCUUGCUGGAAAAGUCGCUUAGUUGUGGAUGUGCCUGACCUGUAGCUUGACCAUCUCCAUCAGCUGUUGCCUGUCUGAAGUGUGAAAUGGGGCAGAUUUGGACCCAUAUAUCAUCCUCUUGAGUGGAGUUAAUGGUGCCUGCCUCCCGCAGCAGGAUUGUUUAGCCUUAGGUCAUGCACCAGAGCUCCACAUGCAAUGCACAGCGGAUGCCAAUACCCCAAAACAGUUUUUACAGAGAUCAGGACUUAAACUGGGGGUGAAGGCAGUGAAUGCCUGUGUUAGCAAACAGCAGCUCCUCUUCCGACUUAACAUCCUCUGGCAGCCUGAGAUGUUGCUUUUGGUGAAUCAAAGUGUGUAACUGAAUGGCUUUCCAGGUCCAUGUUUAGCCUUGGGAAAACUGGACCAUUCCAGUUUUUAGGAACCAGCUACUGGGAGAGAUAGUGGCAGAGGUGCUGAGAAGACCUUGUGGCGAGAGCCCAUGCCCAGGGUGGGACCUUCUGCUUCUGCCUUCAUCCAUGUGCUGCUCACCCCCAGGAGAGGCUGCACACAUCAUUUACAGCUCUGCAUCCAAGUAGGUGAGCAGUGGGAUACAGUUCACCUUUCCACAGUGUUGGGUGGGCAUUUUGAGGAUCAUACUGCUCCACUUAAGGCUUUCGUUGUAUGUCUGGCUCCGGUAGUGCAGGUCAAUGUCUUACCUGCCCUACUGGUGUAAAGCUGUGCUGUGCUUGGCUUGCCUUCUGUUGUUGUGAGGAGGGCAUUUUUUAAGUACCCCCUUCAUUCAUUUGGAGGUUUGGGAGUUUUUUCUUCUGUGCAUUUGCCAUCUGAGUUGUAAAUUAGUAGCACUGAGAAAUGUGAACCUCUAAAUGACAAAGCAGCCAGAUCAAACUGGUUCAUGCUAGAGCUGCCUUUAGCUUGGCUUCAGAUGCAGAAUAGAGACAGUUUUGAAUUCUUAAUACUGAUAUCACAGGAGGAUCACUUCCUGCCCUCAACAAGAAACCCAUUGAAAGGACCCUUGAAAGGAUCUCUCUGCAGUCCCUUUAACAAAUCUGUUUACUGGAGGGAGAUUUUACCCCUGUGGGUGUUUCCCCAAAUUGCAGUACACCAAGAAUGGAGCUGUUGGCAGAGACUGGCUGUGAACUCUGUGCCUGUCCAGCAAAACCCUCAGACUAGUGGACAUGAAUGUCAAAAAAACAGUCCUGGCUUGCUGCUGCUGUUGGGGGUCACCAGCACCUAUAGCUUUUCACCCUGUGGGUAGCAUGGGCAAAGUAAUACCACAAGGAAAGAAUCACAACUGGAUCCCAGCUUCUAUAUUCAGGGACUUGGGGGGGGGGAAUGUUUGCAUUUCAUUAGUGUUAAGUUUGCCAUUUCCAAGGAUUGGGAAGAAAAAUCUCUUCCCUUUUUGCUAGAAUAUAGAGUGGUGUUUACUUUCUCAUUUUGAAAUUUUCCCAUCUUGUGUAACAGCUGUGCUAGGGCAGGACUCGCUCUCUGCUGAACUGCUGCUUUUUUCCUUUGGCCUUUGUUAAAAUUUCUGAUAAAUAACAGACUGUCUACAGCUGUUCAAAUGAUGUUGCUUUUUCUGAGUGUCACUUUGGUGUUCAUUCCCACCAAUGUGGGCUUUGCUUUAGAAGGUAAAUAAGGGACAAAUAGGGCUUGCUGUUGAGUAAAAUUGAACAUGUGGGCAGUGGGAAAAGAAUCUGAAAUGUGAAUUGCCCAAGCCUACAGAAGCCAUCCACCUCCGGCUGUGAUGGAGACACUGUGGCAUCUUGGCAGCAUUGCUGUGUGCAAUUUUCUUUAAAUAACUAGUGGGUUUUUUGUUUGCUGCAGUUGGUGUUAUUUCUUCACAUUUUCUCAUUUGAAGGUAAUCUGCUUCUAAGAAGUGAUUAGUGCGAUUUGUACAUGGAAGGCUUCACUGGACUUUGAAUUUUUGCAGUGGCACCAGCUAUGCUAGUGCGACUGGGCUCACUGCUGUGAUAGUGAGAAGAUAAAAUAUGUGAUUUACUAGCAUACUGAUGUAUUGCUAUAGAGAUAAUUUUAUAUAAUUUAUUUUAAUCCAUUAUUUAAUUUAUCUAGAGGCUUUCUCUAAAAACUUUAUAAAUUCACAGUUCUGGAAUAAGAGAAUUUUAUGAGUGAGAACUGAAGAUUUCCUUUUUCCCACGCUUUCUCUCUUUUUUCCACUAUGGUAGUUCUGUCCGUUUCUUGCCCUUAACCCUUCUGUACAGGUCCCUGUAAGAAGCUAACAGGCAGAAAUUGGUCUGCAUUUGAAAAAUGAAUCAAACAAUUUCGAAGAAACAAUAUAAAUGCAAAGUUUUAUCUGUGCUUGAGAUUAGAAAUUGAAUUUCUAUAGUAAUAUUUAGGUGAGUUUAAUACUCAGAUGAGUUUGAUUCAUUUCCUGUUGCAAACUGCUUACAAAGGCAAAAAUAUAUGAUUUAUAAAUCCAAAGAAAGAAAGAAAAGGGAAUGAACUGAAGUAACUCAACUCUGUCCGUUCCACAGCUGAGGACACAAAGUAAUAAUUGUUGCUUAGCUAAAUUAUCACACAAAAGAACAGCAAGUCAUUCAUUUCCACAUGAAAAAGCACAAAAAUAGGGUUUCUGUAAGACUGAUUGGAAGGUUUAAGAUGAGAAAGUCAAUGUUAAGGUUUCUCUUUAAAGGUGUUAGAUCUGCUUAGGCUGAAACCAGUCUUGCUUUUGCACAAGCAUAGCUAGACCCACAGCAACUGAGUAAGUGAAGAGUUGGCGUCAUGGUUUAAACAUCUUUUUGACAAAUGUCAUGGGCCAGAUCCUCAGCUCUUUUUUUUGUUGAUAAAUCUUUCUCAAGGUUGUUGAAGUUGAAACAAUUUACAUCAUAUUCAAGCCAAAAGUUUUGGUUCUGGUAUAGUAUCAGUACUUACUGAAAGAUGACAGAUCCAGUGGCCCUAUAAUUCCCUGGCCAGCUGCUUAAAUACAGGUCACUAACAGCAGUGCUGCAAGACAGAUGGAUAUCAUUUUGUUGGAAGACAUCAGAUUCUGGUGCUUUUGGAAAGAAGCUGGGUUUGUCAGUUACAGGGAAAUCUCAAAAAGCAACUUGAGAAUUUUGCGAGCGUGUGCUUCAGGUUUGCUCAACAUUUUGAGGCAAGUGUAAAUCACUUAUAAGUAAGCUGCGACGAAUGAAAUGUUCGUAAUUACAAGCUGCUAGCCAAUCUUUACACUAUUUUUGCCUGAGUACUGCUUAAAUUACUACAGUAUAUUUUAUAGACAAAAAAAGUGUGACUAAUUAAUACCUACAACAUCAGUAGACUCAUGCAGGAACAACAGUGAGAAGAAGCCAAACUAACUCCUCCUUGAAUAUGACCACCAUUUCAUGGAAUAUAGGUAAAAUAUUGGGGACCUAAGCCAAAAUCUGGGUGAUCAGCUACUCCAGGCUCUUUUCACCAGCUUGGCAGAGAGACCAGGGACUGGCUAGAGAUAGAGGCUGAACUGUGCUCUGGUUCCUUCAGAUGGCUCCUUCUCAUUAGAGUUACGGACAAAUUGGGACGAAUGAUAAGUGCAUGUCCUGCUGGAGCACAGCUGCGCAUGUUUGCUGGAGGAGGGAAGACCUGCAGGCAACUUUUCAGUUGCAAAUGUUUCAAUAGUGAUAAACACGGGAUUUUUAUCAGAUUUUCAGGUGGUGUCAAAAAUGCACACGCGAAUUGUUGAUCUUGGUUGAUCACAGGACCUAUUUUUCCUGUGACAGCUGGGGCCAUCUUAGAAGAAAGCAGCGAUAACAAUGCGAUAAAAGCAUUUCUCCAAAGCUUUGUAGUUGGUGAGAGAGGAUGUUCAGUUUACCCCAGAUAGUAGCCAUGACGCGUAAACAGCGAGGCUCGUCGAUGCUAUUUUCUGAAGCGUGGUUCGGGGAGGCUGACCACUAGCUGCUGCUAACAGCAGUGGAACAGCCACACUCCGAACGUUGGACAGAUACACAUCUAGGUCACCACCGCCGGGAGCCCAGAGUGCGUGGCUGCAGCCGCUUGCUGAAUGUGUCUUUAUCACUGCUGUUGCACAUUUCCAGCUGUUGUAAUGAGGCCCUGCAUCUGCUAGGAGCAAGAUCUUGGGUUCAAUAUUUAAAUGUCUUUGAAACUGGGCUUUCAUACAUGACAGAAACUAAGGUUCUACAGUUUGUUCAGGCAAAAGGGUACUUGGAGAACUGGAAGCUUUUCUAGGUUCACAGGGUCAGUGGAUCAUUAGUUCGUUAGCUGGCACAACAAUCCAGUUCGGUCUUGAUAGUUUAUACUCUGAUUUGAAAGCAGAAACGAAUCCAGGAAAACCAGCACUGGUAGGAAUCAGACAGGGCUUUGCUGUGUCAAAGUUGGUGUCAUGUGGGAUUUUGUCUUGGACUGGCUGGUGAGGAUUUUAAAUGUGGAGUUAUUAGACAGCAUCACGGUUAUGCUAUGUUGUACUUGCAUUGCCAUGAUUUUUAAUCAAAUGUGGCUUUUACAUACAUACCUACAAUUGGAAAGCAUUUGUCCUGAUGUGUACCAUCUGCAUACAAAUGUUGUAUCUGGAGACUACGUUUUUAACAAAUAAUUUUCUGUUCAUAAUAGAUACAAUAGAUAGAGAAGAUCUACUCGGGCAGGUAGCCCUUUGCUUUUCCACAAAGAAAUUCCCCCUUUUGCAGUUGUAUCGUAGCAUUUGCUUAUGUGUUCAACUGAAAUGUCAAAAGCAGGAUUUCUACAUCCAGAACUAGAACUCAGAGGUUCCUAGUUUCCAUUCCUUUUUCACAUCAAUUGUUUUUUAAACCGUCUUGUAACAAUCUUUUUUUGAAAAAAAAAAGAAACAAAACCCAGCCCUCCUCCCAACCUCAUACUGCACUGAUAUUUGUCGAAGAAAAGCUGCAAAAACACUUUAUGCAGAGAAUAUGAAAGGUAAAUUAUUUUAAUUUUUAACCACAAUAUUUUACUUUCUUGAAAUUCAUCUUCUCUCUUGGAGGUUCUGUACAAGAAAAGAGGAUCUGUAACCCUUCCACUUGCAUUAUUUGGAAUGUCUUCUAAAUUUUCUUUAAUUACAAAUGUCUUGGAUAGAUUGUUGGAAGGAUUUAUUGGAAUGACAGGUUCAAUUUAAUUAUGAAUAUUUUGGCUUACACUAUAUCCCAAUACUUUCUUACCUCCCUAUUUUUCCUUGCCCAUAACAUUCCUGUUAACUUCCCGUGUCAUUCUAUUCUCUGCUUCCCACAGCAGAACAGACUUUCCUUACCUCUUUUCAUUUCAGUAGCCAGCAGGACGUGCUAAAAACAUACGUGUGUUUGUGUGUGUGUGUGUGUGCCUGUGUGGCGUCCGGUGUUUACACUUUUAGUGGACAUUCCGCUCUCAGCCUUUUCCAUCCUCGAUGCUUUAUGUGGUCAGCUGUGGCUCUGCAAACCUGGCCCGCGCCCUGUGGGAAGGCAUGAAUAGCCCUUGUUGUGCUGGCACACCUGUGUUCUGCGCACAGCUGUUUGGUUCACAACAGGGUUGCUGUUAGCAGUUAUGAAACGUUUUCACACCACCCACCCACUAUCCACUGGUUUAUAACAUUUGCUGGCACUUCUGUCCAGCCUGAACUUAUUUUUUUUUUAAAUUUAAAGGACACCAGCAUCCUUUAUGUAUACGAAUAACAAGCCAAAUUGGCACACCACCUUAUUAAAAAUAUUCCCUCUCUCCUGUGUCAGCAAUGAUGCUUUUUAUGUGCGUGGUAAAUCUGCAACUAUAAGAAAAAGUGUUUAUUUAUUUAUUUAUUUUUUCACUAGUUGCCAGUCAGUUUUGUGCUGGCCAGAAUUUAAAGAGGCUGGAACAUCACUUUUUUUUUUUUUUUUUUUUUCCUACAUAUUGUUGGUGAUGUGGAGCCAUUUGUUCUGUGUUCCAUCUGUUAUACUAGGAAGCUAAGGUGUUGAGCAAUAAAAGGCUACCCAUAUAGCUAACUUUUUAAACCACCAGAUCUGGUUGGAUGGAUAACUCAACUCUUCUGAAAGGAAGAUGUCUAAAAGCCCACUUUUCUGGUAGUCUAGAUGAUGCCAAAUAUCCAAAAUGGAAAAUAGAGCUAAAAGAAAAAGCUAAAUACAAAACGAGGUGGCAAAGUGAAGCAGGUGCUCCAUAUGGAGAGGAAAAAAGACAAAUUAACUUAAUGUAAAAACUGCUUCAUAUCUAUAGGAGAAUGCUAUUUAAAUUAAUAGACUAGGAAGACAGCUGAACUCUUCUGUGUAGUUUUAUCAGCUGUGUUUUGUAUCUCUCCAUGACACAGUAUGUGGCUCUUUACUGAAAGCAGGACAAUGUGUUUUGACAGCCCGUGGCAGUGAGAGCAACAGUGAGAAAAGCCAACCAAAGUGAUUCAAAUUAAUACAAACUGGCUGUUGUAAAGCUGGACCAUCCAAAGCAUUUCCCAAGAACAGAGGACCCCAGAUAUUGUAAGAUACAAUAUAGCCAACUGGGUUGGAAACAGUGAGGAAGGGGUGCUGCUAACACCGCUCACCGUGCCAUCACCUACAGAAAACAUUGUUUUUCUUUGGUAAACUACAGGGGUGUUUAGCUCUACUCCUGUUUGAAAAGGUGAGUGAAUCCUAUACAAAGCUCUGUUUGUGACCUGCAGGGAAAAAAGCAUCAAGUGGAAAGGCAAAGCUCAAUUAAAAUUGCUUUAAGUAACCUUGACCAUUUCUUUAGGGGAUGCCUUGCACGGGAAUUUGUUGUUCUUCUAGAUUGUACAUGGGUGUGUGUUUAUUUUGCCAUAAUAUGACUGGUCAUGGCUUUUAUUUUUUAAAAACUCUGUUGCUGAUCAGAAAGAAAAAGAUUGAGAAUUCAUUACAUUAUUAGUUUUCUAAAAUCUUGCUAAUUCAAAAAAAAGGCAAACAUCUUUAGUAACCUUAGAAUUAAGGAUUGUCUACUGAUGAUAGAGCAAUCUCCAUGAGGUCCAGCCGUGCUUGCUUGACUGACAGAUGACUGGUUUGAGGAAUUCAAAGUGGUCCAGAAAAGAAAACCCUUAAAAGUACAUGAAAGCUGAAAAGUCAGAUAUCUGUCAUUCACUUCCUCUUCUGGUCUUGCAGGACAAUCUUUUCCUUUCAUGCUCUUUUACUGCUGGUAAGAACACAUUAUCUUCUGAGGUACACAGCACAAUGACCCGUCUCUCUGUUUUGUAUGCCACAAAGUUACUUUCUCCCACAUUCUGACUUCCUAAGAAUCUUCCUUUUACUUAAGAUCCUUUCAUUUUGCUUUUCUUCUGAAUAUCUUCUCCCACCUCAUCACCAAAUGAAUCUUGCUUUAGAUAAUUCAAAGUAUCUGCUCUUUUCUUCUCCUUCCCACACCUGCCCACAUUCAACUUCUCAUACCCAAUGCCUUCCCACUUUCAUUCCCAGCUGGAAGACCACCUCUUCUUGUUGUAAUAAAACCUUUUAUUUUUUUCCCUUAUGAGGAGGAUGGUAACCCUUCUACUGAUAUUUCAGUCCAUCAUGAUCCAUAAUAGAUUUUUAUCUGCACUUUCUCUGUGAAGCAAGGAAUUGUUGUAAAUGAAAGGAAUUAAGCCCAAAGUCAUAAAGAAAAUUAAUGGGUAAAGUAAGGCCAAACCUUGUGGAUCCUAAUCCUAGCUGUGGAGGCUGUAAUAAAAAUGGUGAGGAGGGUGGAAAGUCCAGGCAGAUGAUUUGUAUUUGUUACUUAUGGCCAAAUAUGACACAAAUAGAGGCACCCUGUUCUUGACGAGGAGAGGCGGGAGAGCAGGACAUAAUUCAUGCUAUUCAGAUUCUGCUAUUUAGCAUUUGCCGAUCCUUAAUGGGAUAUUUGCAAAGUAUAAUAUUUUCUAACAGCUGUAAGGACAAGAGAGCCUAAAAUUUCUCCCUAUACAUAAUAUCCAUGAAAUUGCAUUGAAUAUUGUAAUGAUGUGUUAUGCUGCCAUUAGCUCCCUGUGAAUACCUAAUUUGGAAGGUUAAUGUAAUUGACAAAUGUGUGUACUGUACGCACAUCGUCAGUACUAGUUAAUGGCAACUCUCACAUUUUUAUUUGGAAAAUUAUAUAAAACUGAAAGUGACAAUUAUUGUAACUUCAUCUUUUUUGGAAUCUAGCACAGUGUGCAGUUUAUUUAAAUAGGGUUGUAUGUGUUUUAAAUUUGUAUACCAUCAUAUGAAGUCCUUUGCUCAUCAUGUGAUUAUAUACUUAAUUUUUGUAUGAAUGAAUGCAUGUAUUGUGGUCUUUUAUAGCAUAUUGGGCCAAUUUUUGGGGUUUUGUGUGUAUUCCAUACUAAAAUACCAUAAGUCCUUGUCUUCCUGUUGGCUCAACACUGCUUGAUUAAAAAACUGGUGCCAGUUAAUUCAAAGAGACAUCACAUAUCCAAAAUUAAUUUCCCCAGGCAAGGAAAGUAUGCUAGAGUACACUGGGAGAGUAUGCUCCUGUAUUUUCUGUAAUUGACUGAGCACCAUAAAAGGUCACUUGCAGCUGCUACUGCUUCUAUGUAUGGAUUUGAUGAGCUCCUUGAAGUUUGGCCCCUAAAUAUUUCUGUGCCUCAGAAAGUACUUCAGGUCAAGGUCACAUUUUUAGGUGUAAGGAGUCUGAGUUGAGAUCUUUUGGUCUAAAUGUGUUUGAUUAGACAGAGCUUUACAGAGUGAAUGGUUCCUUAUGGUUCCAGGGAUGUCAGAUUCGUCUGCUGGGAAGUGAGAGGAGACAUUAUGAUAACCCUCUGUGGUGCACAGCAGUAUGGAUGAUGUUGCCUUAUCUGGGCCUUGCAAAUUGGAAAAGCGUGAAUGGAUGGAUGGAGCGAGAGCUGCACAGCCCACUUCCCCUGUUACUGGGCAUCUCUUCAGCUCCUUGUGGUGUUUCUUCUGAGGGAGCAGGUGUCACAGAGGAGGGCUUGCUUCCCCGAGGAGACCAGAUGUGUCACUUCCAAGAACAAAGACGUCUUUAAAACUCGAUGCUAUAUUGAGCUCAUGAGUCAUGAAUCUUUAAAUCAAUAACCAAAAUGUUUUUAUAUGUGGGGGCAGCCCCAAACAGAGUGACUCAGCGCCGGCAGCUCAGCAUUCAGUACACUUCUGUGCAGGGCCUGGUUUCAGAUGACUGAUGGUGGGACUGGGGCCGGGUGUUGUGGGGAGGCUGAGGCGCUGCUUGUAGGCAAGGCAGAGCAGAGUUUUCUUUUUGACACUCAGCACAUCUGCCCCUCGUUCUGCUUCGCGCAGGAGCUGUGUUCUCAGGCUGUCCCAGGUGCCACCUGCAAGUCAGCAGCCUGUCUGGCCAUCUCUGGUGUUUUUUAUAAGGUGACUUGGAGACGUCAAAGUUUAAAACAUUCUUAAGCUUAGAUUAGACACUCUCAUGGCUUUCCCCCCUUUUGUUACAUUGUAUUACUAAAUACAUGGCAGAAUCUGGUGGAAGAAUAUAUUAUUCGGACCCUCUGUCAAAGAUGCCACAGACUCCAGUGGUCUCGAACUCUGAAGAGGGCUCAAAUGUUUGUCCCUCUCACACUUGACAACAAGGUCUCCUUCCGCUCCUGCUCCAGUCCCGGUGGCCAUGUAUUGUCAGGCUCAUGCUAAUGCUUUGGAAGAAGCUGGGAUCCAUCAAUCACCCCAUGGACCUCUACCCCAAAAGCACUGGUCAGACUUAAAUGUUUGCAUCAGCUGUGACUGCCAAUGUAGACAUUAAUUAGAAGUAGAAAAUUUGGAGCCUGGAAAAGCUUAACACUGAGAUCUGUUUUGUUAAGUGGGAAUGGUUUGCUCCUCUGUGGAUACUUUGCUUGACCAACCUCAUUGACUUUUAUGAAGACAUAACAAGAUGGAUGGAUGAUGGCAGGGCGGUGGAUGUGGUCUACCUUGGC